rnacentral:tRNA from 1 species
GCGACCGUCUUCAAACGGAUAGGAUACCGGCCUCCGAAGCCGGCAAUACAGGUUCGAUUCCUGUCGGUCGCACCA